GAGAGGUAACCGGAAUUCCUAGUGUAGCGGUGAAAUGCGUAGAUAUUAGGAAGAACACCAGUGGCGAAGGCGGGUUACUGGACGACAACUGACGGUGAGGCGCGAAAGCGUGGGGAGCAAACAGGAUUAGAUACCCUGGUAGUCCACGCUGUAAACGAUCAAUACUAGGUGUGCGGGGACUGACCCCCUGCGUGCCGCAGUUAACACAAUAAGUAUUGCACCUGGGGAGUACGAUCGCAAGGUUGAAACUCAAAGGAAUUGACGGGGGCCCGCACAAGCGGUGGAUUAUGUGGUUUAAUUCGAAGCAACGCGAAGAACCUUACCAAGGCUUGACAUCCCGAUGACCGCUCUAGAGAUAGAGCUUCUCUUCGGAGCAUCGGUGACAGGUGGUGCAUGGUUGUCGUCAGCUCGUGUCGUGAGAUGUUGGGUUAAGUCCCGCAACGAGCGCAACCCUUAUCUUCAGUAGCCAUCAUUCAGUUGGGCACUCUGGAGAGACUGCCGUGGAUAACACGGAGGAAGGUGGGGAUGACGUCAAAUCAUCAUGCCCCUUAUGUCUUGGGCUACACACGUGCUACAAUGGCUGGUAACAAAGUGACGCGAAACGGCGACGUUAAGCAAAUCACAAAAACCCAGUCCCAGUUCGGAUUGUAGUCUGCAACUCGACUACAUGAAGCUGGAAUCGCUAGUAAUCGCGAAUCAGCAUGUCGCGGUGAAUACGUUCCCGGGCCUUGUACACACCGCCCGUCACACCAUGGGAGUUGGAAGCACCCGAAGUCGGUGACCUAACCGUAAGGAAGGAGCCGCCGAAGGUGAAGCCAGUGACUGGGGUGAAGUCGUAACAAGGUAACCA
rnacentral:rRNA from 1 species